AUCUACAGCCAUACCACCCUGAACGCGCCCAAUUGUCUGAUCUUGGAAGCUAAGCAGGGUCGGGCCUGGUUAGUACUUGGAUGGGAGACCAUACACUUGACACACUUGGUCCUUUCUAGUUG
ensembl:rRNA 5S_rRNA 5S ribosomal RNA